GAUGAACGCUGGCGGCGUGCCUAAUACAUGCAAGUCGAGCGAACGGACGAGAAGCUUGCUUCUCUGAUGUUAGCGUCGGACGGGUGAGUAACACGUGGAUAACCUACCUAUAAGACUGGGAUAACUUCGGGAAACCGUAUCUAAUACCGGAUAAUAUUUUGAACCGCAUGGUUCAAAAGUGAAAGACGGUCUUGCUGUCACUUAUACAUGUAUCCGCGCUGCAUUAGCUAGUUGGUAAGGUAACGGCUUACCAAGGCAACGCUCCAUAACCGACCUGAGAGGGUGAUCGGCCACACUGGAACUGAAACACGGUCCAGACUCCUACGGGAGGCAGCAGUAAGGAAUAUUCCUCAAUGGGCGAAAGCCUGACCGAGCAACGCCGCGUGAGUGAAGAAGGUCUUCGGAUUGGAAAACUCUGUUAGUAGGGAAGAAAAUAAGUUUAAGUAACUGUGCACAUCUUGACGGUACCUAAUCAGAAAGCCACGGCUAACUACGUG
rnacentral:rRNA from 1 species